AACGAACGCUGGCGGCAUGCCUAACACAUGCAAGUCGAACGAGACCUUCGGGUCUAGUGGCGCACGGGUGCGUAACGCGUGGGAACCUGCCCUUAGGUUCGGAAUAACUCUCCGAAAGGGGUGCUAAUACCGGAUAAUGUCUUCGGACCAAAGAUUUAUCGCCUUUGGAUGGGCCCGCGUUGGAUUAGCUAGUUGGUAGGGUAAAAGCCUACCAAGGCGACGAUCCAUAGCUGGUCUGAGAGGAUGAUCAGCCACACUGAGACUGAGACACGGCCCAGACUCCUACGGGAGGCAGCAGUGGGGAAUAUUGGACAAUGGGCGAAAGCCUGAUCCAGCAAUGCCGCGUGAGUGAUGAAGGCCUUAGGGUUGUAAAGCUCUUUUACCCGGGAUGAUAAUGACAGUACCGGGAGAAUAAGCACCGGCUAACUCCGUG
rnacentral:rRNA from 1 species